UAAUUAAUUGCCCCUCCCUCCACCCCACACCCUCUCAUACAUGCAUCCCCCUGCCAGUCUUGUAAGUUGGAACAGUCCAAAAGCAAAAGUCGCGAGAUUUUCAACGAGACUUUGCCCUCCCACGUCCUUUUCCUUUUUUUGGGUGCUGUCGCAGGUGCAAGGCAAGUGGUCUUCUGUCUCUCUCGCCCUUGUUUUGCAGACUGGUCUUAUAAUAGGGCCAGCAAAGCCCCUAAGGCACUCAGCCACCAUGAAUCCCGAUGAUUCCACUAGUGGGUUCCGGCAUGCCAAGGUGGUAAUGUUCAUCAAUGAGCAAAUGUCCAAGAACUCCAAAGGCCCCGAGUUCUACCUUGAGAACCUGUCCCUGUCCUGGGAGGUGGUGGAAGAAAAGCUCAAAGUCCUCCUGGAGAGUAGCGAGGUACCUCGCGAAGUUCAGGAAGCCUGUGCCUGGGGCAGUCUGGCCUUGGGUAUUCGCUUUGCUUUUAAACAAGCCCAGUUGCAGGGGCGCAGAGUGCAGUGGCUGCAUGACUUCGCCAGCCUGCACAGGUCGGCAGCACAAGGCUUGACAUCAGAUCUGAAGAAGCUCACCGAGCAGCAAGAAAUGGAACGCAAGGAGGCAGCCUACCAGCUCCAGUUGGCCCACACCAAACUAGCAGAGGUGCAGAGAGAUCGCGACUUGAUGAGACUGAAGCUACUACAUGCAGAGCUGAGGGCUGUUCCCGUUGCACAGAUGCCAAUCAUGACUAGUGCCCCUGCUGUUGCUGUUUCUCCUGCUGCUGCUGUUGCUGCCGCCGCAGCUGCGGCUGCGGCUGCGGCUGUAGCCGCGGCCGCGGCUGCGGCUACAGGGGCACAGACAGGGCCAGAGAUACAAAAUGCAGGAGAGAAAGAAGCGGUGACAGCUAGUCGUACGGCAGAGUGUAUACCAGAAAAGGAGAUGGAUGGGGUUAUAGCCAUGGCUGCCCCUAGGGCAUCCACAGUAGCACUGGAAGGAAGCACCCCGGAGCAGCUUUCGCCUGUGGAAAAGAAAACUUAUCCCCUGGAAGUGGAGGGGCAGGAGGAGGGGGGAGGCAAAUCUAUGGAAACACCCAAAAGUUCUGCCUCUAAGCAAAUGGGUCUCAGGUCCUCAGCCUCCGCACAACCGGUUAAUAUCCAACUCCCUGUCUCCUUUACAUAUUCAUAUGAAAGCCCCUUCCCAGUCACACCCACCCCAUCCCCACCACCAAGCACAGUCACAGAACCUCAGAUGCCGCCCUACUUCAUGGCCACUGACAUGAAUAUGUCCGAAACCGAGGGCCCAACUGUGUACCUCCAAGAUCCCCCUAAAGACAGUUAUGAGAGCAGACCCUUGCAGCAGAGAAAAACAUUUUGCAUACCUGGGGAUUGGGAUUGCCCUUGGUGUAAAUCUGUGAAUCUUUCGAAGAAGGAUUCUUGCUUCCGUUGUGGGAGGCAAGGCUGGCUAUCCAACUCUCAGUGAGGUUUUUUUUUUUUUAAAGUAGUACAGAAUAGAAAUCUCCCAAAUGGGAAGUUAAUUUUCAGAGGUAGGAAAAGGAAAAUGGGAGGGGGGUUCAUGGGAAUGGGAGGGAAGUAAUGGGAUAGGUACAGUUGGUAUGGGAGGGGCAAGUUUUGAUAAUUUCUUUUGUAUUCCAGAUUGUUUGCAUUCGAUACCCUUGAACUGCUUCAAUGCGGGGGGGGGGGUGUUUGGGUGUGCAUAUGUAUACCCCUCCUGGUACAGCUAAAUAUGCAAUACCCCACCCUUUUCACAAACCUAGACUUUAAAAGAUAGAGCUAUAGUGGUUAUUCAACCCAUUCUGAGACAAAAAAUUUCAGGCUGGUGGACCUAAACAGAGAAUCAGCUGACUGAUAGAGUCAGUGGAUCACUGGAAGCAGCCCAUUCCUGGUCCUGGCUAAGGUAGGGAACAGAAUCGGCUGUUUUCCAGACAUUUUUAGACUAAUCCUAGUAGGAGACUCCAGGGAGCUGACAGACACAAGGAGACACAAAGGAAUUGAUCAACUGGCUUCAGAGAACUCAGCUACGUUUUAUACCUCUGCAGCUGUGUUACAUAAAGUUCCCUUUUUACCUAGGCCACUUCUUUGUAAUUUCAGAAGUUUUGAGCAACUAGAUCAUUCUCAUAUCAGCUAACUUUUCUUUUAUAUCUUGAUUUUUUUAUUUUUUUUAAACAAGGGCUCAUAUGGCCCAGAUUGGCCUCAAAUUCAUCAUGUGGCUGUUGCCAGAUCCUCCUGCCUCCACUCCCUAAGUGUUGGAAUUGACAGGGGAGUUGAACAAGUGGAGAGCAAACAGUGGCGACUCCUUUCUGCCAAGGCCCCGAGAAUAAACUGGAUAGGACACUUAGGUUCAGUGGGAUUCUAUUGGCAGAAAUAGCUCAAACCUAGGGUGACUGUUCCCAUGAGUGAACGGCAUAGGAGGCUUGAAAUUUGACAGAGUAAUAUCACAAGAAAUUAAAUGAGACCUGGGAUAAAUUAACCUCAGGUUUAUGGUUGACUCAAAUUAACAUGACAGAAAUUUGCCACCCCUAUGAGAAUCCUGAGAGACUACAGAGGAUGCCAGCACCAGGUACAAGCAAGGACGUCCACGAGUAUCCAGCCUCUUAACAGGACUCUUCCCCAGCCCCAGUGGGCAGAACAGAUCUGAACAGGAAACUUAUGCCAGCUGCUCCAAGUCCUCAGGUAGAAGGAAGAAGGACUGUAUCUGGACUGGACUGAGACACAAGUGGAAGAGCCCCGACUAUCUCCCAGAGACUAUGAACCUGGAGAACGUGAAGCUGUUGUGGCCCAUGGGACACCUGUAGGAGCAGAAAUGUGACUUUGGAUUGUCUGUCAUUGGUGAGGGUACAGUUACCUCCAGGAUUGCAGACUAGAUCCCUAGCCUGCAAUUUUGUGAACACCCUUUGUGCUUGGUUAUCUCCAUCUACUGCAGGGCUUCCUACCCUCACUUCGCGUGACAUCUGGAUUUGGAGAGUUCUUUGCUGUGGCAUAGGAGGUCCUGUGUACUGUAGGGAGUUCAGCAGAUUCCUAACCUCUACCCACAAUAUCUCUGUCUGUGUGACCCACUCCUACCCCUUCAGUUGUGACAAUCAAAACUGAAAACUGCCGCUGCAUACUGCCACGUGUCCACUAGGGGGCAAAAACAACCAGAGUUGGGAACAACUGAGUUGACAGUUGAAGGGUUUAGCAGUGCUGAUAAAGUACACUAUCAUAGAGGCUGAAGCUGGCUAAAAAAGGUUCAUCAGGUCUAGUGUUUACUUUGGAAAACUCAGGGUGGUAGAAAAGUAGAAACCAAACUGCCAGGGCUGAGGAGUGAGGGGGACCUCUACCCUCUGCAACACUGGUUUCGACCUUUAAUGUUUCAAGUGGUGGUGACCCCCAACCAUAAAAUUAUUUUCAUUGGCAGUUCAUAACUACAAUUUUCCUACUAUGAUAAAUUAUAAUGUAAAAUGUCUGUAUCUUCCAAAGGUGACCCCUGUGAAAGGGUUUUUGACCUCCAUAUAGGUCACAACCCACAGGUUGAGAACAACUGCUUUACAAGGACUCUAGGCUUCGAAGGGAAGGGAGUAAAGGGAGAGCCAUUUUUAAGAAAGGGUUAUUCUGUCAGCCAACAUUCUUGGCAAAAUAUAUUGGAUACAAUUUCUAACUAGCAUCUAAACUCUGAUAAAGGCAGUACGAGUUAAGGUUAGUAACUUUUGGAGCAAUUUCCUCGAAGAUAAAACAAUCCAGCCUGCAGGAAAGCUCCUGAAGACUUAUUAGGAGAAACUUGAGCCAUUGAAGGAGAUAUACAGAGAAAGCUUUAAAUGGGAGAAAAAGAGGAAAAUAGUCUUGUAUAAGGCGUAGGAGGAAUAGCCAAUGGUAAUAGAAGAAAAACAACACUAUGAAAGGGACCAUUGUUUCAUGUAUAUGUAUGUUAUAUGUAAAUAUGUUACAAAUUUGUGUCUACAAAGUUUGUAUUUCAGUAAGCAUUGAAAAGAUAUGGAAAAGACAUUUAGAAAAGAAAAUAGGCAGGAAACAGAAGGCAGUGUGGUAUCAAGGUAUAGAAUAGAAUACAGGAAAGUUUUUUCUUUAUGUACUUCUGUGUUUUGAAAGUAAUAAGGUGUUCACAAAAUAAAAGUUUUUUACCCGCUUUA